AUAUUUAAAAAUCAAUCUGCGCCCCACUCCCGGCUCCGGAGCCAAACUCAACCAUCUCGGGCUGCACAAAGCCAGAGGCGCGCCGGGGGGUUUGCACCGGGAACCGGCACCGAGUGACCCGCCCGCCCCAGCCCGGCCGCGGCGCCUGCUCUGCCUGGAUGUGGCUCGAGCUCCGGGCCGGGCGCGCGGGGCGGGGGCCCUGGAUUAUCCGUGGCGCCUCCCGCCCCAGCGGAGCCGAAAGUUACUCGGAGCUGCUUUCCUCGCGGCCAGUGUCACCUCGGGGCGCGAGCUUUUCUGCCGAGCCGCGGCCCCGCGCGUCCCUCCCGCCGCCCAGACCCGCGCGUCCUUCCCACCUGCUGUGGCCGAAGCGGCUGCCGGGGCGGCCGGGCCGCGCUCCCGGAGACAGACGCGCUGCGCUCCCCCCGCCGGGGACCCGCUCUCCAUUCGCGAGGGCAGCGGCCGAGCUGGGACCGAGUUAUCAACAGAUUGCGGGGCUGCGGCGCCGGCCGGUGAGUCACAGCCCCGCGCACGAGCGGCCCAGCCCGGCCAGCAGCGCCGCCGCCUCUGCGCGCACCUCCCGCGGCGACAGCGGGGACCCGGGGCCGGAGGCAGGCGCGUAACCAUGGGGACCGGGGCGGGCGAUGGCGGCGGGCGGGCUCCUGCCGCAGGGUGGGGAUGGCUCUUCCAGCCGGGCGGCCGCCGUCACACUGCAGAGCGUAUUUAAAGAGACACCUCGCUCCGCGCUCGCUCCCCAGCACCAGACCCUCGCCCGAAAACGCCGCCGGGCGGACUGCACGACCCUGUGUUAUUCCCAAAGACAAUCUCCAUCCGUGGAGAAGCUGCAGGAACAGAAAUAUACACAAGAAAAUGGAUUUGGAAGGAAUUUUCCAUCCUUUAUUUAACAUUCUCAAGUCCAGAUAUGCCAGAACCGAGGUGCACCUGUCGUGAACCCGUCUGAGUGUGAGUCAGCAGGGCAGCCGCAGCCGGUGUAGACAGACAGGGCCUGUGGCUGUGCAGAAAGCGUCCCUGUCCCCCUACCCCAACCCUCCUGCAUCCUGGGCCACAGAGCUGGGCAUCCAGAGCCAAGGCGAGUGUGGAGGCCAGGGUGCCAGGGGCGGCGCAGCCCAGCCUCCCACCCGCAGCGAGGUUUGGGCUCUGCACACAUCCCACAGGUCCCUAUCCUGCCCCAAGGGGCCUCCUACCCGACAAGGUGGGUCCAAGUCCACUCCAGUUUUCGUCACAAACUCCGUUUUCUGGGGCACGUGCUGGCCUGGUGGCAGCCUCAGCAAGAGUCUCAGGAACUGCCCUGGGGGACUCCACACCCCUCCACCUGUUCCCCCUUUGGCCCUGGGUGACCCCACACCCCUCCACCUGUUCCCCCUUUGGCCCUGGGUGACCCCACACCCCUCCACCUGUUCCCUCCUUGGCCUCCACCCUUGCAUGGCUACUUCUGCCCCAGGUUCUGUGACACUGGCGCCUGUUCAGGGGGUCCCCAGGCCCUGCUGCCAUGGAUUUUGAGGGGCCUGAAGGAUGUACUAUUGGGAGGUUGUCAUGAAGACUCACAGAGGCAGAAUUAGAUGCAGGGGUGACAGCGUUCCGCUUCCCCGGCCUCUCAUUAUGGGGCUUUUGAGCGGGAUGUGCUCAGGGCCCCACUGCCCCAUCUAGCUGGUGUUCCCAGAGCCCCUCUGUGGGGACACUGUGCUGGUCCCUGAACUCCAGCUGAGGGACACAGGGUCCAGGCAGGCGACGGUCUAGUUCCCAGCUGGAGACGCUCUAGGCACCCCAGGACCUGGCCGCCCUGACUCCCUGGACACCGUUCCCUUGGAGCCUCGGAGCCCCCCCUGGUGUCCCCUGGGUGAUGGUCCUGGACAAGAGGGCUGGGAAGAAGCGGGCAGCAAGGGGAGGAUUCUGCCCCAGACGUCCCCAGGCCGGGGGUCCCCAUGGGCUCUGCCCUGACGUCUUACUCCUGCACCCAGCGGCUCCCACCACAGAGACUGCUCCAGGUGAGGGUACCACACUGAGCACAGGUCAGCCUGUGUCUCCCGGGAGGCUCCUGGCACAUCACAGUUGGGGCCCAGAGGAGGCCCCGGCCGGUGGGGGGAGUGGCCCUGGCUUGUCUCUUUCCCUGCACACGGACUGGAGCCCUGCCCUGAGUCCCACGGGGACUUUGCGGGGGAACUUCUCGAAGGUGCUGUGGGGGCAGAGGGAGGUGGUGGAGCCAGCCAGGCUCUGGGAGGCCCCAGAGAAGCUCCCACUGCCCACCUCAGUCCUAGCUGGUUUUGGGCCCUGGGCUGGGCCCCCACAGGCUCCAAAGGGAAAGGUUGUCCAAGGGAAAGCCCUGGAGGCCGCUGGUAUCCGGGUAGGACACACAGAAGGCUACCAGGUGCUGUGGGGGCCCUGGGGUCCGGCACUUGAGGCAGACAGGUCCACUGGCUUGCGAAUGUCCUGCUGCCCCCGCACGUGGUGGUCAGGACCCGGGAGGGCUGCCCCUCCCCCCCCAUUCCACACCUAGUGAUAACCUAGGUGAAGGAGAGAGAGCCAGGGGGAGCUGGCACUGCCACGUGUUCCAGAGCUGCCCUUGGGCAGAGUCUGUGGGGCUCGGCCUUGUGAGGGGUGGGGGCACCGGGUGUCUCCUGCUCACUCACAGCUGCCCCCCAGGGCCCCUCCCCCGCUGCUCUGCGAGCCCCUCCCUGGAGCUGCCCUUGGAGGGCACCUGCUUCAGGUCUCAUCUCCAGGGUGGUGCUGGGGACCGGGCACUGUCUCCUGAACAGUCCCACAUGGUGGCCUGGGCGGCACGCCUGUGGGAUGGGGAAACCGAGGCACAGACAGUCACGUGCUCUUCCAGUUGCAGGUUAGACCCCACUUGCGGUUGUGUGUUCCAGAAGUCUCCGGGCGCUGUGUGGCAGGAUGAGGAGCUGCCCCCCUGGAGGAUCACGCAGGCCUCUGGGUGGCAUUCAGCAGGUGAGCCGGCGGCCGUGUGCCCGGCAGCCCGGGGAUGUCAGCACUUGCCCUGCCACCAGAGGUCACUGCCCCGGGCCCUGGGCCCCCGGCCCUCUGCUCACUGUUCAUCAGCAAAGCGUCUGCUUUCUGGACUGCAGGGUUGGCUGCGGCACCGGCUGACCACAGGGCCCACCUUUCCAGUCCCGGCAGGAGAGAAGCGUCUCAACCAUGUUGCAGGCACACGGGUGAGGGUGCUGCCUGCCUCCCUGACUCUUACCUCCCCAAGAGAGGAAAAC
rnacentral:lncRNA from 1 species